rnacentral:misc_RNA from 1 species
CUCUUACGUCACAGUGAAUACCACAAAACCGCCCUUCUCGAGCUUCGGAGCGCUUUUUUCGCCGAUGUGGACAAAAGGUGCGGCGUAGGCGAGGACAUAUCUUACUCCUUUCCCAGCUUCUAGAUUCGAAGUGAAUUUUCAUUUUCUGUUCCUUUCCCUACUACCGUUCUUAUCACAGACGCUAUCGAUGCCAUCGCGCGCCUGUCUUUUGUAUUUCUUUUUUUUUUUCAGUUCUCCACAUUCACAUCUGCGCUAAAUGGCCUGUGGGUUGCUAGAUGUCCGCGGAGGCCCGCAUUUCGCAGUUGCAGGAUGAGGCGAGCGAUCUCCGAAGGCAGGUGACAAUGCUGAAAGAGGUACUGGAAACCGAGCUGGAACGCAUGCGUGCGGAGGUGCAACGCCUUCUCAACGAGGCAAAGCAGUUUCUCGCCACCUGCAAACAGGACUCGGUAACCCGCAUGGAUCAUCUGGAUCCGGCCAAACGGACUCUCACUCGAGCAUGCGAGCGCGCGAUCCGCACAGAAGAGCUCCAGGAGGCCGAGGAAACAGCUGGCUUUGCAAGCGAGCAGCUGAUGUGUGCUGCAGUUGCCAGAGCUGCGAAUAAUUUAGCUGAAGGUGCGACACCUCGGUCAACAGGCACGGACAAAACAACGUAUCCCUCCGUACUGUCCACACAGUGCUCAGCUGCUAGGGACGCAGCAGGUGGCGACGGAUUCACUGCCAGAGACGCAAUACGGUGCCUGAUUCCCCGUGUGGAGCAAGUGUUCGACUUCUACGCAGCGUUGCAUGUAACGGACGCCGAACUGCUGUAUCCGACAAUGCACCUGCCUCAGUUCACCACAAUGGCACGUGACGGCGCUCUCGAUCGCGGGUGUCGUCCUCUCCUUCCAGAGUUGUUGUGGAUGACGGCCCUGCGCGACUUGCCUUCCACUGGCGGCCGCGAACGCACAGAUCGGCGUCACGGCAGUACCUUGCUGCUUCCGCGUGUCUUCGACGGCGACUCUCUGUUCCAGCCGGUUACCGCGCGGAGGGACUUGUUUGUACAUGAACGGCUCCGAGCAAUUACGAAGGCGGAGUUCCCACGCGUGCUUUACGUCAUUUUUCGCGCCGCCGUCCACAACGGACAGGAAGGCGCUGCUGCACCCGAGGCCUUCUGCGCCUACCUCUCGGAACACUUCUUGCCCACCGUGGAACGCUGCAUUCGCCGUCGAAAAGCCGCUCGCACCCUCUUGAUUGACGGCAAGGCUGCUUGUUUCGACCCAAGUGCUCUAUCCCCACGAGCAGGAGUACCUAACACACUAGCCGCAUCAGAUUUGCCGACGACAGCAACAGGUGUCUGCUCUCCGUUACCGCCCUUUGCCGACAUUGUAGCAGCAUACGGCAGCGAUGCGGGAGUGCAAAGGGUUGCCCAGCAAUUCACGCCGCGGCUGAAACGGUGCUUUCGGCACGCGGUGCGGUGCCUUCCUACAAGCCGCGCCGAAGAUGCCCGCAUGAGCGUUGACGCCUUCGUGGAGAGUGCUCGACAGCAUCACUUACUCCCGCUGAUUUCACGAGAGCAGCUCAGGGACAUCUUCGUCUUCUGUCUUACAUUGGACGGCGACAGCGCUCCCGGUGCCGCGGGAAGUGGGAGACUGUCAACGAAGCAAGCAGCGUCGCUGACCGCUCGCGACAGCAUCACAUGCUUUUCCUUCAUCACUGCAGCCAUGUACUGCCUCGCGGAGGUCAUCUAUGGUGGCUCGCCGUCGUUGCGUCAGCAGUAUGCAUCGCCCUGUGCGCGAACCUCGAAGCUUCUGGUGAAGAUGUUCGUACUGUGACGCCGUCCAACGUGGAAACGUGCACGCACGGUAAAAGGCAGAAGAGAGGGGGAGACCCUUGGGCGGCUGCUACCCAUAAGACACCUGCAAAAUCAUGUAUGCACGUCGUUCCGGACUGUGUGCGUCUCCCUUCUCUCUUGCAGGUGAUGGACCGCGCCAGAGACUGAUUUUACUGUAGAUUCUGUGAGAUGAAAGAAAAACACGGGUGAGACAUACACGCGCGAAAGGAAUAGCUGCGGGUUUCAUGUAGGUGCCGCAUACCUCCCUCCAUCUCUUCCCCCGCCCCUCGCACACCAACACAUACAUAUAUAUAUAUAUAUAUAUAUGCGUACCCAUGCCUGCACCCUCUUCCUUUUUUUUCUACCCUGCUUGCAUCCAGACAUAACAUCGAACUC